CAGUCGCCGCGGUAAUACGAAGGGUGCAAGCGUUAAUCGGAAUUACUGGGCGUAAAGCGUGCGUAGGCGGUGAGUUAAGUCUGCUGUGAAAUCCCCGGGCUCAACCUGGGAAUGGCAGUGGAUACUGGCUCGCUAGAGUGUGUCAGAGGAUGGUGGAAUUCCCGGUGUAGCGGCGAAAUGCGUAGAGAUCGGGAGGAACAUCAGUGGCGAAGGCGGCCAUCUGGGACAACACUGACGCUGAGGCACGAAAGCGUGGGGAGCAAACAGGAUUAGAUACCCGAGUAGUCCCUGUCUCUUAUAC
rnacentral:rRNA from 1 species